rnacentral:ncRNA from 1 species
AAACUUUGGUCCCAGGUUCAUUAUUAUUUUAUUUAAAGCUUAUACAUGCAAGCAUCCACGCCCCCGUGACACACAGGUAUCAUGGACGACCAUAAAACACCUAGCCCCGCCACACCCACAUGGGCCAGCAGCAGUAAUCAACACUAGGCUAUGAGCUAAACGCUCGACCAGGCUACAGAAACAAGGGCCGGCUAACUUAUGUGCCAGCCGCCGCGGCUACACUGAGGGCCCAAAAUAAUUCCCACGGCAAAAAUGACUAAAAGCCCACCAAACGACUAAGAAUAAAUCAAGUUUGACACGUAAAACAGUACACAACGGAGAACCACAAAUCUUAAGACCAAGGCGCUUUAACUCAUAGAAGUGGGGAAACAAACUAGGAUUAGACACCCUACUAUGCCCCACUAAAACCACGACCAAAAAAGUACAGGUACAGCCUGAAACUUUAAGGACCUGGCGGUACUCAACAUCAACCUAGAGGGGCCUGUCUAGUAACCGAUAGUCCACGAAAAACCCAACCUUUUCUAGCCAUUAAAGCCUGUAUACCGCCGUCCACAGCAUAUUUUACGAAAAAUGUAGCCAAACAGACCCCCCCCCUAAAACGUCAGGUCAAGGUGUAGCACAUGAAAAGGAUAAGAUUGGCCACAGUACCAACCACGAUAAAUUACAAUGAAACGCAUAACCAAAAACGAAUUUAGCAGUAAGAAGACCAACGAAUAGCCUUCUGAAACACCACCGCUCUAGAGUACGCACACACCGCCCGUCAUCCUCUUUAACAAAUGCAAGAGGCAAGUCGUAACAAGGUAAGUGCACCAUAAGGUGUACUUAGAAGA